CAUAGCUGCCUUCAAACAUUUGAAAGACCAUCAACGUAGCAGAAGAAAUGCGUGGAUUCCGUGCGGCUCAGCGAGGCAUAUGAAAACCAAAGGACAGAGAUUACUGUAGAGAGAGAGAGAGAAAGCAAGAAAGCGAGAGAGCGAAAAAGGGAUGCUGGGAACACGCUCAAAGGAGCACACUGAAAACACACCGCCAGAGCGGAAUGCUGGGAAAACGACUUAAGAGAGGGGGAUGCCGGGAACUUCCGUCAGAGAGGGAUGCUGGGAACUUCCGUCAGAGAGGGGGACGACUGAAGGCUCCUUCAGAGAGGGAUGCCGGGAACUUCCGUCAGAGAGGGAUGCUGGGAACUUCCGUCAGAGGGGGGGACGACUGAAUGCUUCUUCAGAGAGGGAUGCCGGGAACUUCUGUCAGAGAGGGGGACGACUGAAGGCUCCUUCAGGGAGGGAUGCCAAAAAUACACAUUACGAGGGGGGUGGGUGGGGGGUGGGGAAGAGGCUGGAGGAGGCGGCUUCCCGAACUCCGAACUCUCCGUCUGAGGGGGAUGCCAGGAGCUUCCCUCAGAGAGAGGAUUUGCGAGAACGUCCUCAGAGGAAAGGAUGCCAGUCACGCUAGUCAGAGGGAUUGUGGGAACAGGUCGUCAGAGAGAGAUGCUGGAGACACCUGUCUGAGAGGAGCAUGCUCGGAUCACAUCAUCAGAGAGAAGAAUGCUGGAAACAUGAGAGAUGCUGGUUCAUUUACAUCUUUGGCCAUGGAAAAGCCAUAUAAGCUCAUUAAUACCUGUCAAGAUAUUUUUUAAUGGAUUUGAAUUAGUAUACUAUCUUCUCAUCAUUUACCGAGUCAUCAAUCUUCAGCCCUGAGAUGGGAUGCCAGAUGCUGAAGUUGUUAUCCAAGUGUAUAACCCUGUAAUUGUUAUUUUCCUCUUUACUCUUCUCUCUUAUUUCCAAUUUCCCAUAAUGGGAAUUUACCAUAUGAUUUUCUAUUAAAAGUUUUUUUUUUUA